rnacentral:lncRNA from 1 species
AGAGCUUGCAGGGUCCAUAGGAGGAAUACAGUGAAACAUAAAUUGUAACAAGCCUGAAAUCUCAUGUGAACUACUAUUGAACCAGAACGAGGGAGACUGCAGACAAGAUGUAUAGAACCUGAAAUCUGCACCAUCUGAAUUUGUCACCCAAAUUAACUGCGUGUGUGUCUUUGGACUCUCAGCAAGAAGAAAUUAUUACAGCUUUUAGAUCUAAAUCACAGCUGCUUAAAAUACUAUGACCUUGCAAGGAAAAGGAAGGUCACCUGAAGAAAUCUUUACACACCUCCAAUGUUUCCUGAAGGGACAUUUUGGAUCAGAAGAAAACAGAGAUCUAAUCUAAUGGUAGUGCUCCUUGUCAAGCUCAGAACUCUCUAUUUGGUUGAGAUGAAUGUCAGUCCUCAAAG